AGCGGAGACUGGGAGCGAAAAAUCCGGGAUCCGGCAACUUUGGGCAGCGCAUGCGCGCCCGCGGCGCUCCAUCCCAAACACACACACAUUUUUCCCCCGGACUUGGAAAGUCACCCAAAGCCGCCCCAAGUGCAGGCACACAGACCUUGGUGACAGAAGACAAAGAUCCCAUUGGCCCUUCCAGGUGCCCUGGCCACCAACCCCUCCUUCACAGGGGGGUCCUGCAACUCCCAGGUGGUGCGUGUUGGAAUGGACUUCAGACCCCAGCCUCUUGGGAUGCAAAGGAUGAAGUGACACCCCAUCAGCAUCUGAGGCACCUCUAGGACCCGUUAGGAGGUAAGGCAUGCACCUUCUCCAUAA